rnacentral:lncRNA from 1 species
GCACAGUAUAAAUCAAAUGUGGGCUUCCCAAGUACAAUUUUGAUAGACAGAAAAAAAUAAACUUUGCUCAGACAUCCAUUACUGAUUAUAAGUAAAGUGUCCUGAGUCUUAUCUGUAUGAAAAAAAGCAAAAUUAUCUUUAAAGCUACCCUGUGCCUCAGGAAAGGUUUUCCCAUCAUGAUAGAUAGCACCACCUCCAAACCAGAGACUGUCGAGCUGUUGCUUUUGCAGUGGGAAAUAAGAGUGAUGCAAGAGCACACCCUCCCUGUCACUGGAGCAAAUUGAAUUCAGCAAAUUGCAUUUUCCUGAUUACCAGUAGCAAAAUCUUUUAAUACUCUGUAAGAUGAAUUUAAAAAAAAAAAAAAAAUCCUAUGCUUGAGUAAAUUUAAAGCAUUUCCAAGUCUUCCAAUUAAAUAGCCCUGUCAGCACUGUCCUGCAGAACGCUGCUGUACACUUGGAUGUUUCAGUAUUUCCACAAUGUUUGAUGAAGACACACAUGGACAACCCAUCUGGCUGUUCAGAGCCCACUGGAGGCAGAGACAUUGGUGGUAAGAACCACCAGAAAUUCUGCUACAUAAAGCUGUAAGACCAUGCUGUAAUCUAAGGGCACAUUUAUAACAGAUUUUUCUUUUAAGCAUUAAAUUUAGAACUGUAGGGAAUGUACAGAGAAGAAAAAAAAAACCUCAACCAUAUCCUACAUAAAUCUGAGAAUGCUGAAGAUUAAGUAACAAGUACAGUUAGCCUAAGAGAGUCAUUGUCCCCUUUGGGACAAUAGAGACUAUAUUAGGACUGUAGAUAACAAGUGAAAGCAAAUACACUAAAACAGGAGAGAUGAAAAUUCUUUCAUGUCACUAAGACCAGACUGUACAAGUAGAUGGGAGUGGCAGCAACAUUUACUCCAUUUAGACACUAGUCCUGGGGUAGACCUCUUCCUCCCUGUGGGAGGACCCUUCUCACAGAUAAAGAAUUAGCCAUUUUCAAGCCAUUGCAGACACCCAGGUGCUACACAAUAAGAAUUUUAAUACUUUUCAUGCCUACAGGAUUACAUUCCUCAAAAUGUCAAAUGCCUCCUCCUUUACUCUUGAGUUUGGGCCCAUCUGUGCCAGUGGGCCAAUGAUCAGGAAUGGGAAGCAAGAGCCAUAGGGACUAAGCUAGGAUGCCAAGCUAGGUCCAAUUGUGUCAUGAAAUUCACAUGCAAUUUUAUCCACUAAAGGAAUCAGGGUUAUUGAAGCUGUCUGAAAUGUUGCAUUUUUUAUUCCAGAUACCACAAAAGCAUCUAACAGGAAACCCAGAAUAAAGCCACAUGUAUUUCUCCAACAAAACUGAGAAAGGAAGGCCAAUACCUCAGUCAUACCACAGUCCCUAGACAGAUUACAUCCAGUCGAUCUUCUACUCGCCACCAGAGCUCUGAAGUGACAGCCAGCUAGCACAUUCAGCCAUCCCCAGGAGGUAAGUCACUCCUACACCAAAGCCAAAGAUCAAAAGUUUGUCAAUACAAGAAGAGUGCAAAUGGGUGCAAAAAGCUGGGUGAUGGUAUCUGUUCUCUCUAGUACUUCACAGCAUUUUGACAUGGCAUCAUAAAAGCUAGCUUGUGCUUUGAUAAAUCCCCAGCUGAAGUAGAUUCUCAGGUGUCAUAAAAUUCUUUAAACUUGUGUCUGUAGCUGCUGCCAUGACUGAAUAAUGAAAACAAGAGGAUUAUGUGUCUUUUUUGUCUAUUUCUUUUUUCCUCCCUGAAAUGAGGAAAGCCACAGGUAAUUCAACCAGUAAAACUCUGAACUUGCAAUAAAAGGAGAUCAUUAACGCUAAUGGAAACAUUUCAUCUGGUUCAUUUAUCAACUCUGUGAGACAAGCUGGUGAAUUUAAUCAUACUGUCAGCAAAUUUGCCCAGGUGUCUCUUCUCUUCAUAAUUUCUAACCCAUCAGCUUUCACUGUUUGGAAGUAGCUAUAAAUUCUCAUUUUCCAGCCCUGUGCUUUAUAGUUCAUCCCAUAUAUAUUUACUCAGUACUACAAAUCUCCAACUCUUUGUACAGGCCAUGUUUCCCAUAUUUGUCACAUUAGGACACUCAGCUCAUGCAUGGCAGUUCUUGUGUCACAAUCAUUAGUAAACACAGAUAAAAUAACGUGUUUCCAAAGUUAAUUUUCAACUAACCGCACCACUUUGGCACAAAUAUUUGCACUCAGCGCCAUCUAUUGAUGCUAGUCGGGUUCAGAACACCCUGGCUCAGUCACCACCUAGCACUAACCCACACCACAGGCUUUACCAAACAAUUUAAAUAUAUAGAUAUUAAUAGCAGCAAUACUGGGUUAGGCAUUAAAAAUAUUUGCUAAAUCGGUGUUGAAAUUUGCCUCUGUUUCUAGUUAGCCCUACUCUGUUAUGUGACAGAAAUAAAAAUUAAAUACUGAUGUGAGUUUUCCAGAUAAGAACUUUUGGCAUGUCUUGCCCUUAUUAGUAUCUUAGGCAUCCUGGAGCUGUGCUCCAUACAACAUACUUCUCGUAGUAGCAGUAACAAUAGUAGCGGGUGAUUAAGUUCUUAUUAACAGAUCUGCAGCUUGGCAUGUCACACUUUCCAUUCUGCUAGAAUGGUUCUUUUAUAUUUCAGGUAAAGAUCAUUAACGGCUUGGAUUAUGCUUCCUUUUUCUUGGUGGAAAUUUUCUUUUCUAUCUAUCUACUCUUAAAAAACAUUGUUCAGUCUCAGACUUCUAUGGUGCAUUAUAAGGAGCAACUCUGACCUAGACAGAUACAACCUUUAGUUAUAUAGAUAAAACUUAGGCUAAUAGCAGCUUCCAAAUCUUGCCACUAAAAAAGCCUUUUCCUGAUGCUUCCAACUCCAUCAGUACUGUUUUACAAUUUUCCAGAGUGUGUAAGUAAUCUACAUACUCAUGAAUUGCAGAAUAAAGACAAACAAUCAAAUUUUAAUUAUCAAAAGUUUCCAUGAUGAAUCUUUGCAACUCCCUGGAACAAAAAAAAAAAAAGUGAAGGCAAUUUGGAGUACUUUGCUGAUGUCCUACACAAACUACUACUCCCACACACCUUCAUUGUGUUACCAUUGCAAAUGCAAGUUGACUGAAGUCAGAGAAGUCAGAAAUUGUUACCUGUAGUAAUUAUCAUCAUACAGAGAAGAUACAAAAAAUUGCAUUUCGUGAUCAGUAAUUUCUGACUGGGGACUACCCUUUUCCAGGGAUUAUCAACUUCAGAAAUCACUAGGAUUUUACCUGUUUCAGUCUACUGGUCCUAGAAUUUGUAGAUAUAUUUUCACUAGUGCAGGACAAAGCAAAAACCAAACAAUACCUACCUGACUUAUGUUCCCAUUAAAAAACUUCAUAAACCCAGCUGAAAGUAAAAUUUAAAAAAUGUUACAUUUUUUUGUGGUAUUAGAGAAAAAUUUAACUAGAAAAAGCCCUACAGAGGUGAAGUGGUCCAGCAAGACUGACUGAAAUUGGAAUGGUUUACCUGAGGCCUUGUCCAGCCAGAUUUUUACAAUUUCAAAUCUUAUUACCAGACUAGAGCACUUGUAUUCCAAUGCUUAACCACUCAUAAUUAGUAAUGCUCACACCCACACAGCACCCCAUAACCUUCCAUUCCCUGACUAUUCCUUUUUAACAGAGGAAUGGGAGGAAAACAGCAAAUAAUUUUGUUCAACCACUGUGUAAGAAGAGGUCAGAAAACUCAUGCACAGAAUUGCUCUGUUAGCCUCUAAUCUGAGGGGUAAACAACCUGCUGGGCUGCCUUGCCUCCUUCCAGGGCCUUUGUGAGGACAGAACAAAUCCUGCUCUUGCAGCUGGGAACCUCAACACUGCCCUGCUGAUCUACAGAAGACUGCAUAUAUAUGUAUGAAUGACAGAUAGAAUGAUCUUGUUUUCUGUUCUUAAGUCUCCUAAGAAAUUUCCUGAAGAGAACAGAGAUGAUUUCACCCACAAUUAGACAGUAAUCGAUACCCAAGUGACUUUUACAACUUGGACAUGCAAACGUUAACAAUGGUGAGAUUGCAUCUAUUCAUUUUGGCUCCAGAAAUUAGUCAGAUGUGUCCAAUGGUGAUCCUGAAGGAGUGAAUGUAGCCCAUCCAAAGAUUCAGCUUUUCUUGUCUGGACAGGAGAAGCAUGAAGCAAGGAAUUUUCUUACAAAAAUUUUCUCAACAGAACAUCCAUCAAGGAUCAGUGCUGGAGUUUCACUAAUAAAAAGUGGCAAUUUUAGCACAGAGGUUAUAGAUUUCGUUUAAAUAUCCCUUUCAUUCUGUGACACAAAAUCCUGUAAUAAAAGCUCCUAAAUCCUGUUUGGUUUAGGUCUGAAUAUGAGUGAGUGAAGUGUUUAUUUGGAAGCCAUGUCUUAGUAAAUCCAUAAAUCUACCUACUGUUCACCUCUCCUAAGUUACUGAAGCAGGAAGCAGCUUGCUGCUUCCUAAGAAUUCUUACCAGAAGAACAUGUCACAUUUUGGUGGAGAAGGGAAAAAUAGCUGGUGUUGGAUGAGUUGCCCCCUUUGUCUUUCCUGACCUCACACACAGCCAUGCAUAUCAUCAGUAUGCACUGCAUAUGGGCCAUUCAUAAUUUGUUUUUAUACUCAGGCAACAAUCUGUCAAUAGAAAGGUAUUAUGAAAAAAGCAAAUACUUUUUUUGAGAAUCCUUAAUUGAUUUGAAACCAAAAGGCUACAAGUGCCAUAGGCAGCUCAAAGCCAAAACUUUUGCAGUAGCACAACACUGAAAACUAUGAGCAGAGCUUUAGACAGGCACUAUCAGUUAAGGUUCUGAGGCAUCCUCUAGUAUUUUUCUUCACACAUUUUUCUGUUAUCCAAGAUACUUCCUUUCAGGCUUCUAAGGCUAGUUCUAAAAUCCUCCUUUUUUGGUACAUCUGCUUUCCACAACACUUCAAGCCCCAAUCAAAACAGUGUAAGUGCAUAAGAGCAGCCACCUACUCAAUAGCUCUGACAUGUCUUUCAAGUGAAGAAUUCAGGUCAUAACUUUGGUUUAGUCCAGGUAUUACUAAACUUAUAACCAGACUAUACUGGCAGCAGUCAGCAAGUAGGCAGCUUCCUGUCCUUGAGAUCACAGAAGCUGACAGAUUUACUUCCCCACACACACACCAAGUGAUCAGUUGCCUGUUAGCUCACAAUUUAGGCUUUUCUUUUUAACCAGAAAUGAUGGAGAGCUCACAUUGCUUGAAGGCGCGCUGUUUUCCAACGGUACUCUGAGUAUUGCUAUGCCCAUUCUCAAGAGCUGUUCCCAUGGAAAGAAACAAUGCCGAACCAGGAGCAUGGUACUAGCUGUCACAUUUCUGCCUUCUUACCCUGCCUCAGUGCACAGGGAUGGAGUUACAGGGAAAGUCCAAUGCAACACCAGGAUCAACAUCUCUUGUAAACAGGAAGAGAUCAUAACUGAGCUCUUUUUAUGAUGGACUCUCUGGGUCCCAUCCCUCUAUUCAAUUUGCAGCCUCUUCCUUCCACUUUUUAAGUCCAUGACUAGUUUUGCCUAUGAACAGUGCACAAAAUAGUCACUAGGGCUGGGAUCAAGGGGAUUUCUCAUAUUUUUAUCAGAGAACAAGGAUUCAAGGGAGAACACCAAUGCAUUAAAUACAGACUGAUAACAAGGAUAGACAGUUGAGCAGAAUCUGUGGGAGGAAUAAAGCAAAACCAUCAUCUGGGACAGAAGGGAAAAGGUGGAGUCUAGGAAGUUACAAAACCAAUGUUGCUGCACUUAAUCUUUGUGUCUGCAGAGAUUAUAUAUCCCGCUGUCAGCCAUGUCCCACUGGCUGACUGACAGAAAAAAUAGUUAUUAUUAUCCCAUCUACUACUGAGUGGUUAUUAUUUUCCCUUCCCACUACUUUGCUUUUCUCCAGCAGAUACUCAUUAAGAUUGACCAAAUAUCCUCCCUGAUUGCCAAUCCCUAGCCCUGCACUGCUGUCUAUUAAAAACACUUCAGUUCCCUUUCUCAGCAUUCACAGAUUUAUAUAUAUACA